rnacentral:tRNA from 1 species
GCCUCGGUAGCGCAGUUGGCAGCGCGUCAGUCUCAUAAUCUGAAGGCCGUGAGUUCGAGCCUCACCCGGGGCA